AUGCAAAUCGCCUGGGAUCAUGUUAAAAAUACAGAUCCUGGCUCAGUGAGUCUGGGAUGGGGCCUGAGGGUCUGCAUUUCAGACCAGCUCUUAGGUGAUGCUGAU
rnacentral:miRNA from 1 species